AACGAACGCUGGCGGCAGGCUUAACACAUGCAAGUCGAGCGCCCCGCAAGGGGAGCGGCAGACGGGUGAGUAACGCGUGGGAAUCUACCCAUCCCUACGGAAUAGCUCCGGGAAACUGGAAUUAAUACCGUAUACGCCCUACGGGGGAAAGAUUUAUCGGGGAUGGAUGAGCCCGCGUUGGAUUAGCUAGUUGGUGGGGUAAAGGCCUACCAAGGCGACGAUCCAUAGCUGGUCUGAGAGGAUGAUCAGCCACAUUGGGACUGAGACACGGCCCAAACUCCUACGGGAGGCAGCAGUGGGGAAUAUUGGACAAUGGGGGCAACCCUGAUCUAGCCAUGCCGCGUGAGUGAUGAAGGCCUUAGGGUUGUAAAGCUCUUUCAGCUGGGAAGAUAAUGACGGUACCAGCAGAAGAAGCCCCGGCUAACUCCGUGCCAGCCGCCGCGGUAA
rnacentral:rRNA from 1 species